rnacentral:rRNA from 1 species
GCUUACGGCCAUAUCAGCCUGGGUACUCCCGAUCUCGUCUGAUCUCGGAAGCUAAGCAGGGUCGGGCCUGGUUAGUACUUGGAUGGUAGACCGCCUGGGAAUACAAGGUGUUGUAAGCA